rnacentral:misc_RNA from 1 species
CUAGAACUGACUAUGAGA